rnacentral:rRNA from 1 species
UACGGAGGAUGCAAGCGUUAUCCGGAAUCAUUGGGCGUAAAGCGUCCGUAGGUGGUUGCACAAGUCUAUUGUUAAAGAGUGGGGCUUAACUCCAUCAAAGCAGUAGAAACUGUGAGACUAGAGAGUGGUAGGGGCAGAGGGAAUUCCUGGUGUAGCGGUGAAAUGCGUAGAGAUCAGGAAGAACACCAGUGGCGAAAGCGCUCUGCUGGACCAAAUCUGACACUGAGGGACGAAAGCUAGGGGAGCGAAAGGG